CCUACGGGUGGCAGCAGUAGGGAAUUUUUCACAAUGGGCGAAAGCCUGAUGGAGCAAUGCCGCGUGCAUGAUGAAGGUCUUAUGGUUGUUAACUUUCUUUUAUUUGGGAAGAAAAAGUAAAUUAGGAAAGGACUUGAGUCUGACUGUAACAUUUGAAUAGGUGUCGUCUAACUAUGUGCAAGCAGCCACGCUGAUACAUAGGAUGCAAGCGUUUUCCGGGUUUACUGGGCGAAAAACGUGCGAAGUCGGUUAAACAAGUUUGGGAUGAAAGGCUAUUGCUUAAGGAGGGAUUGUAACUAAAACUACUAACCUAGAGUGUAGUAGAGAAUUGUGGAAUUCCUAGUGGAGCGGUGGAAUGCGUAGAUAUAAGGAAGAACACCAGUGGCGAAGGCGAGAACCUAGACUAUAACUGACGCUUAGGCACGAAAGUGUGGGGAGCAAAUAGGAUUAGAUACCCGGGUAGUC
rnacentral:rRNA from 1 species